rnacentral:rRNA from 1 species
UACCGAGGGGGCCAGCGUUAUUCGGAAUUAUUGGGCGUAAAGGGCGCGUAGGCGGCCAUGCGUGUCUUCCGUGAAAUCCCUCGGCUUAACUGAGGACGUGCGGAAGAAACUGCAAGGCUCGAGUCCGGGAGAGGGGGGUGGAAUUCCCAGUGUAGCGGUGAAAUGCGUAGAUAUUGGGAGGAACACCGGUGGCGAAGGCGGCCCCCUGGACCGGUACUGACGCUGAGGCGCGAAAGCGUGGGUAGCAAACGGG